GACAACUGAUGAUUACUUGACAUGGUUCAAAGCCAUCAGCAAGCCAUAUUUGUUACUACCGAAGGCGAGGAGUAGAUAAAUUUGACCGAAAAAAUAACGUCGACGGCCACAAUAACAUAGGAGGAGACAUAGUCGCACGAUAGGUUCGUCAUCAACUCUGGCAAAAGAUGUGCCGCCUGUGGCUACACAAUAUUCGAGUCAGCUCCCUCAACUUAUUC
rnacentral:lncRNA from 1 species